rnacentral:rRNA from 1 species
AUUCCAGCUCCAAUAGCGUAUACUAAAGUUGUUGCAGUUAAAAAGCUCGUAGUUGAAUUUCUGGUCGUGAAACGUGGUCCGUUCCGCAAGGAAUGUGUACUGUCGAUUUAUGUCCAUCCUCGGUGUUAGUAUGCAUUACUUUAAUCGGUCGUGUAUACAACCACCGUCAUUUACUGUGAGCAAAAUAGAGUGUUCAAAGCAGGCUUAUGCCGUUGAAUAUAUUAGCAUGGAAUAAUAAGAUAUGACUUUGGUCUAUUUUGUUGGUUUGCACUCCAAAGUAAUGAUUAAUAGGGAUAGUUGGGGGUAUUCGUAUUCAAUUGUCAGAGGUGAAAUUCUUGGAUUUAUGGAAGACGAACUACUGCGAAAGCAUUUACCAAGGAUGUUUUCAUCA